CUUAUGAUGAAAUGUUGUUUCAAAGAGGUCUUUACUGAACCUAAAUAAUAUCAGAACCUAAAAAAGCAUUUAAUUGUAAUUGUAUAAACUCAUUAGAUUCUGUCUAAAAUCAUAUCCCCGAUACACAACACAUCCAACAAUAAACUGGACUGGUGCACCAACACAGAUGUCCUGUACAAGAAGGGACAAAGCCGCCUCCAUCUGCUGAGGAGACUAAAUAAACUGGUUAAGAGGGCUAGCUCUGUCCUGGACUGUCCUCUGGACUCCUGGACUGUCCUCUGGACACCACAGAGCAGGUGGGUGGGAGGACGAUGCACCCCCUGCUUGAGACAGUGGUGUCUUUAAGCAGCUCCUUCAGCAGCAGACUGCUGCACCCAAAGUGCAAGAGGGAGCGCUUCAUUCCAGCUGCAGUCAGACUUUUUAACUCAGAAGCAACAUAACGUGACCAUCAUAUUGCUCCAAUUUUAAUUCUUUUAUAGUAACUUAAUGUCUAUUUUAUUUGUCUACUGUUUGCUUCUGUUUUUGGUUUGCUUUUGUACUGGAGUUGAUGCAACGAGUGAAUUUCCCCCAUUGUGGGAUUAAUAAAGUCCAUUCUAUUUUAUUCUCCUAUUACUACAACGAAGUGGGCUCAAGCAAUGCUUUUGCUUUGCAUGACCGAUAAUCCAACCAAUCAGGAAGCCAAAUGUGAGUGUCUGCUUCACUAAAACGCUACCCCGGAGUAUUAAAACAAAAACCUCUCCGUUUUUGAUGUUUGGAUUUGCAGUUUCAGCCUGGAUGGGAUAAAAUGAAAACGCAGUAGAGUGGAUAUAGCCGGAGAGUGGGGGGGCAGGGUUGAGCUUUGAGGGGGAGAGGGGAGCAAACACUGGCUAAUUAAUGCAACAUCAAACUAUAUUGAUCUAAACAGUACCGUCUUUAUUUUAUAUCUCUUUUGAAAACAUAUCAGUAAACCUUAAAGUACCGAUAUACCGCCCAGCCCCAGUCAGACCUAUAUGAUGUUAACAUUGAGCGAAAUAUUCAAACUACAGACUUUUAUAGAAGCACCAGACCUUUAAAUGGAAAUAUUCUAGAUUUGUUUGUGUGCAUUAUUUUAUACAAAUUUAUUUGAAUUCAGCCUGAAAUCUUUGGAAACAGGAUUUUUGCUAGAAUUUGAACAAUAUUUGGCUGCACAACAUGAGUUUGCGCAUGUAGGUCAAGGAGGAACUGAGGGUUAAAACAAAUGAAUUUAAUCCUCAGGAGGCCGUCUUUACAUUAAUCCUUCAAGUGUUUUAAUGUGAGGCACCUAGUUUAGAUUAAGAGUGUGUGCGCCUUAUUUAAUUGGUGGAUUGAAAAGUUGUUUUUGUUUCUAAGGGAAGUGGUCUCUGGUUUGAGGACUUGUUGCUUUAAACUUCAAAUGGGAAAUGAUUAUAUGUGUAGUGUAAAGGCCAGUCGGGGAAUUAACCGCCGAUCUAGCGGGCAACCGGCUCUCCUGAAUCAAAGCCGCCCGCUCUACGCUCUUGCUUCCAAAACAAAUGGCACUUUAAUAGCAGCAAAUUAGACCAAUUAGAAAAAUGAUCAUACACUUAGUAUCAUAUAACAUCGCAAGUUUUUCGAUAUAGCCUGUGUCUCUACUUUAAAAUGGAACCACAAAAGCAUCUGAGCUAAAAGCACGGAGCGGACCCGAAACAAGGUAACAUCAACAUUAGCGUUGAACGUAAAACAUGCUUGAGAUACAGGUUAGUCGAGGUAAGGCACAAUUCUUAGUUGUAAAUGUAUAAACAUGCGUUUGUUGUUGAUGUUCUUCGACUGGUUACUCUGAGUUUGUGAUGCAACGUUGCACAGCUGAUCAAGGUGGCGGGGGCGCCGAGCUAAAGCAUUUCUUUUCCGAUUCCUCGAUGAAUCUAUGAAAUAAUCUGUAAAAUACUACAGAAUACAGAAAAGACAUUCCUUAUCUUAAUCCAAAAAAAAAACCUCAGAGGAAUUCUGAAGCACGGCAGGUUAACAUUAUUUUCUGUAUUUAUUGUCUUGUUCAGGCGAUAAACUGUUUUUGGUGAAGUCGUUUUACUUUAUUUCUUUGAAAUAGUCUUUCUUGUUAAAGAUGCAGAAUGUCUACCUGUUGUGCGACUUCACCAAAAAGCCAAAUUAAUCCACAAGAGUCUGUUAAUAAUCUGCUGUCACUUCAGACAUUAACAAGUACAUGAUACAGAAUAGGACUGCAGUUAACAAUGAUUAUAGUAAUCGAGUAUUCUACAGAUUAUUUCACAGAUUCAUCCAGUAAUCGUAUAAGAAGUACUUUUGCUUGACGCGCACAAUCCCAAAACUUUUUUCUUCGUCCCUCGCUAUUUUCUCUCUCUUCCUCCACUUUGCAAACACCGCCAUCAAAUCACUUCGUCUUUACUUGAUCACAGCGUAAGCGCGAUGUGCGACGGUACAACUGUCCGUGUGAAACAGUGCGCUCUAUAGUUAAAUGGAUUAAAGGAGGCAUCGAAGCAAAGAAUUUGUAAUCGAAUUAUUCGAAUAAAUCGUUUCAGCCCUAAAACAGAAUGAUAUUGUCACUGUAAAUAAACUAAACUCGUGCUUCAUCGUAGUGCAGUCGUCAAUUAAAAUGGCCUGUAGUAUAGCACUAAAUUGAUAUGUCAAUUAAUUGAUUAGUCAAUCUACAAGUAACAGUUUUGAUUACUGAUGAAUUUAACUUUUUUUUUUAGUAAAAUUGGCAUGAGCUCUGUGGUUCCAGCUUCAAUGUAAAUAUUUAUAUAUUUUCUUGAUAGUAAACUCCAUUUAUUAGCUUUUUUCCGGAGCUUUUCCAACAAAUCUAAUGGUCUUUCUCAGGGGAUGGAAAAUAGACUCAGGGUUGAAAUAAUUUAGCAUGUGUUAAAGUAGCAUUACAUCAACAAUAUUGAUAAUCGAUUAAUUGUCCAUUAAAAAGUCUUUUAUCUAGCUUUGGUUUCAGCUUCUCAAAUGUGAGGAUUGGUUGCUUUUCUAAAGUGAAUAGUUUUAGGUUUUGGACUGUUGAUCAGACAAAACAAGACAUCUAAAAGAAGCCAUCUGUAAUUAACACUGUAAAUAUUAUUGUUGGCCUGUGUAUCACAAUUGUUAUCAGUGCCUAUCAGUUUUAAAUUCAGCACUUGUGUCAGUGGCUCCCCUACUGACCUGCCCUGUUGCAUUCAUGGUCAUCUGGAAAAGAAACAACCCAUAUCUGAUUACAAAAUAUUUAAUAGUGGAAGCGUAUUAUCAGUCGUCAUGUUGAUUCAACCGGUGUAGACGUGUCACACUGUGCACUGCCGGCGCUCGCUCCCCGGAGCUUCGUUUCUCAGAACUGUGUGUAUACGUGAGGCCCCACACAGCCGCCAGCUUCCUGCUGCCAGAUAAAACAGUGACGGUGUGAAAGAAGCUGUGCCAGCUCCGCCGCAUGGCCCCCGCGUUAAUCAGCACGGUGACACCCGCUAAAGCCCCCCAAUCAAUCAGGAUCUGCUGUAAACUGGCUUCAGUGUAAACACUGGGAUUUCUUUUUUCUCUGCUCGAACACAAAGCUCAGUGUUGGCAGUGACACAGAGAGCAGAAGGUCAAAGAGUGCCUGGGGGAGUUAUUUGAUUAUGGCGGUUCAAACUCCAGGCAGCAGCGUGCGUACGUGAGAGGAGCUUCAUCGUCUGAGUUAACCAGUAACCAGACCUCUGCUUCUCUUCUGAUCUGCUGCCAAAGAAAAGGAAAGAACGACUCCUUGGCAGCGUGCGUACGUGUUGUAAUCUGAGGAAUAAUGCCUGAGGUUUACUGUACAGCUGACUGAAGCUGCUGAUGGCUGAUAAUCAGCACAUAUCAAUUUUUCCGAUCAUUUUCACGCCCGUGAGAUCACCAGUAAUUGAUAUUCCCUGCAGACUUGACAAAGGCGUCUGAAGCAGCAUUUAGAGCAUCGUGGGACGUGAUUUCUUGUCCAGCAUGGUUCAGUCAAGUUCAUGACGGAGACCAAAAUAACAUGAACACCUGACAAUCUGCUGCCAUGCCACAUCAUAAAAAUACCUCACAAAGUCCUACAUUAGUGAAGCUUAUAAAGUGACAGACUGUCACAGAGGAUUAGGACCACCUGGGUGAAACUAAUUCAGGUUUAUGCAACUGCUCUAAAAAAAAAAAUAAAAAGCACCCUCGUACAGGUUACAGUUGGAACAGGUUGAGUCUGUUUCAGAGAAGUGUUCAACUUUACAGGCAUUAGGUAUGAAAAAGUAUAGAAAUGUAAUUAUAUACGCACACAGACAUCUAUAUACCCAAAUAUGUUGAUUGUGAAAUGUCCCAAAACAACAUAAGACAUAUGAUGAUUGUUGGAAAGUACUGGUCCACUUUGUGUUUUAGUGGGGACAUAAAGGCUCAGAGGAAAAAACUUUUAAGCGUUCUUCAGCACAUAAGAUGUUAGGAAAUAUAACAGGGGAGACAGAGGUAUGAGGUCAAAGUAUACUAU